AAUCCCAUGGACAAAGGAGCCUGGCAGGCUACAGUCCAUGGGGUCUCAAAGAGUCAGACACAUUGAAGCAACUUAGCACGAGAGGAAAUGGAGGUUUUCUUCAAGCCAGGGCAGCUGCCCCAGGGGCCCACUCCACCAAGAGCAAAGGACCAAGGCACAGACUCUAAUGAGUGAAUUGAGGGUGUGGUCCUGCCUCCCAGCCAGUACCUCUGGGGCUCCCAUUGAGGGCUGCUCACAGAGGUCCUUCCCUUCCCUUCCAGAGCACUGGGUAAAGGUCACUUCAGUCAGCCCCCUGACUUUAGCCCAUGGCAGAAGCCGAUCAGCUGGGAGACUCUGGCGGGUCUCUCAGAUCCUUCCAGGUGUUUUCUAUCUCAGGCUCUGAGUUCCUGGCUUCAUCCAUCACUUUGAAGCCUCCUUCCCCUCACCCAGGGACCAAAGCAAAUCCGAGGAUUUCUGGGAUCUCAAAGUCUCCCUAUCUGCAUAUUCUUUGGGGCACAUGCAAGGCCCCCACAAAGGCUGGUGAACUUCUGUUUGUGCACCCACGUGAGCAGAUAGACACCCCUCCAGGAUCGCUCCCAUGCUGGUGACCCCGGGGAUGACCACAGGUGCAGACACAGUGAUGCUGCCUAUGUGCACACACCUGGCCACACAGAGCCUCCUCUGCCUUCUCCAUGGAACGGACCCUUCUUGCAUAACUUUAUGAAAGUGUUAAAGGAGGCUCCUGGAUGGAUGUCUCCAAGAAAAAGAGGAAGCGGAAGUGUUGCCUGAUGACCUCAUCUCCUGAGGGAGAAUUUAGGAUGACCUGGAAUGAGAACCCAGAAAGCAGGCAAGCAGAAAACAGGAAAAUGCACAAUGCUGGGAGAAAGAGAAAGACUUUCAAGAAAUAGUUGUAGGGACUUCCCUGGUGGUCCAGUGGUUAAGAAUCCACCUUCCGAUGCAGGGGAUGUGGGUUUGAUCCCUGGUCAGGGAACUAAAAUCCCACAUGCGUUGGAGAAACUGAGCCCACAAGCCUCAACUAGAGAGCCCAUGUGCUGUAAGGAAAGAUCCCACAUAAUAUAAUGACCAGCUGCAUGUCACAACUAAGACCUGAU